CGGACGGGUGAGUAACACGUGGAUAACCUACCUAUAAGACUGGGAUAACUUCGGGAAACCGGAGCUAAUACCGGAUAAUAUUUUGAACCGCAUGGUUCAAAAGUGAAAGACGGUCUUGCUGUCACUUAUAGAUGGAUCCGCGCUGCAUUAGCUAGUUGGUAAGGUAACGGCUUACCAAGGCAACGAUGCAUAGCCGACCUGAGAGGGUGAUCGGCCACACUGGAACUGAGACACGGCCCAG
rnacentral:rRNA from 1 species